UACGGAGGGUGCAAGCGUUAUCCGGAUUCACUGGGUUUAAAGGGUGCGUAGGCGGGCAGGUAAGUCAGUGGUGAAAUCUCCGAGCUUAACUCGGAAACUGCCGUUGAUACUAUUUGUCUUGAAUAUUGUGGAGGUAAGCGGAAUAUGUCAUGUAGCGGUGAAAUGCUUAGAUAUGACAUAGAACACCAAUUGCGAAGGCAGCUUACUACGCAACGAUUGACGCUGAGGCACGAAAGCUAGGGGAGCAAACAGG
rnacentral:rRNA from 1 species